rnacentral:rRNA from 1 species
UACGUAGGGUGCAAGCGUUGUCCGGAAUUAUUGGGCGUAAAGAGCUCGUAGGCGGUCUGUCGCGUCUGCUGUGAAAACUCAGGGCUUAACCCUGAGCUUGCAGUCGAUACGGGCGAGCUAGAGUUCGGUAGGGGAGACUGGAAUUCCUGGUGUAGCGGUGAAAUGCGUAGAUAUCAGGAGGAACACCGGCGGUGUAGACGGCUUUCUGGACCGUAGCUGACGCUGAGACACGAAAGCGUGGGUAGCAAACAGG